UACAGAGGGGGCAAGCGUUGUUCGGAAUUACUGGGCGUAAAGGGCGCGUAGGCGGCCUUCUAAGUCGAACGUGAAAUCCCCGGGCUCAACCCGGGAACUGCGUCCGAUACUGGAAGGCUUGAAUCCGGGAGAGGGAUGCGGAAUUCCAGGUGUAGCGGUGAAAUGCGUAGAUAUCGGGAGGAACACCUGUGGCGAAAGCGGCUCACUGGACCAUAACUGACGCUGAUGCACGAAAGCUGGGGGAGCAAACAGG
rnacentral:rRNA from 1 species